rnacentral:tRNA from 2 species
GGGCCUAUAGUUCAGUGGCAGAACGCCUCGUUUGCAACGAGGAGGCGCCAGUUCAAUUCUGGCUAGGUCCA